CAGCCGACAGAAACUUCCGGAAUUACAGCGGAGGAUUUUUUUUUUUUUGAACGUUUAUAUCUAAGGAUCCGUUUAAUUGGUGAUGUUUGCCUGGUGUCAGGAUGGUGUGUGAGCUGCUGCUCUCCUCGGUCUGGUUCCUGUUCCUCAUCUUCUGGCUGGAGACCAUCAGUGUUUGGCUCUUCCUGUGUCUGUACUAUCAGGAUCGGGUUUUCUAUCACUGGGGUUCAGGUGAGUCUGCAGAUGAUCCAGAUCAGUUCCUCUACGUGUUGAGCAGAAUUGACCUUUCUGCGCACAUGCAGACGUGAGGAAGUGAUGUCAUCGCUCGAGUGUGAGGUCACAUGAAGGGACGCGAGGAGGGUCAGAGGUCAGCGGAUGCUCGUGACGUCAGAGAGCCUGUGAUGGGCGGUUUCUACAGACGGACAGAGUCGAGAGGUUCACAUUAAACAUGAGCAGUGUUUGCAGGAGCAUGAAAUGUUGUAGUCUUGAGGUUUUAGGUUCCUUCACAUGAUCAGUGACGAAGCGUAAUGUCUUUAAAACGGUUACCUGUGUGAACAUGACUGACUGAGUUUAACCGGUUCAUCUCUUUAACUAGCUGGCAUUUCAUUUUAUAAAACUUCAGCAUCUCCGGAUGAACUUUGAUCUAAUUAUUGUUCUUUCUAUUUUGGUACCAGUGUGUCUUUUUUACCCAAUAAUACAAAUAAAGCCGUUUUAACAGAGUUUUCAGAGGUUUCUUUUCUACACUGAACAAAACCGAGCGCAGAUCUCUCCAGCCA
rnacentral:lncRNA from 1 species